CCUACGGGUGGCUGCAGUGAGGAAUAUUGGUCAAUGGACGGAAGUCUGAACCAGCCAUGCCGCGUGCAGGAAGACGGCUCUAUGAGUUGUAAACUGCUUUUGUACAAGGGUAAACCUGAAUACGUGUAUUCAGCUGAAAGUACUGUACGAAUAAGGAUCGGCUAACUCCGUGCCAGCAGCCGCGGUAAUACGGAGGAUCCAAGCGUUAUCCGGAUUUAUUGGGUUUAAGGGGUGCGUAGGCGGAUUGAUAAGUUAGAGGUGAAAUGGCCGGGCUGGACUCGGGAACUGCCUCUAAGACUGUGGAUGUAGAGGGGAGAUGCGGUAGGCGGGAGGUAGGGGGUAGCGGGGAAAGGCUUAGAGA
rnacentral:rRNA from 1 species